rnacentral:tRNA from 1 species
GGAUCGGUAGCUUAGUUGGUAAAGCACUCAUCUAGCAUACCAACUUCCUGGGUUCGAAUCCCAGCCGAGCAU